rnacentral:rRNA from 1 species
CCUACGGGAGGCAGCAGUGGGGAAUCUUGCGCAAUGGGCGAAAGCCUGACGCAGCAACGCCGCGUGCGGGAAGAAGGCUUUCGGGCUGUAAACCGCUUUCAGCAGGAACGAAAAUGACGGUACCUGCAGAAGAAGGAGCGGCCAACUAUGUGCCAGCAGCCGCGGUGAUACAUAGGCUUCAAGCGUUGUCCGGAUUUAUUGGGCGUAAAGAGUUCGUAGGCGGUCGAGUAAGUCGGGUGUGAAAAUUCUGGGCUCAACCCAGAGACGCCACCCGAUACUGCUUAACUUGAGUUCGAUAGGGGAGUGGGGAAUUCCUAGUGUAGCGGUGAAAUGCGCAGAUAUUAGGAGGAACACCGGUGGCGAAGGCGCCACUCUGGAUCGAUACUGACGCUGAGGAACGAAAGCAUGGGUAGCAAACAGGAUUAGAUACCCUGGUAGUCCAUGCCGUAAACGGUGGGCACUAGGUGUGGGAUUCUAUUAACGAAUUCCGCGCCGUCGCUAACGCAUUAAGUGCCCCGCCUGGGGGAGGUACGGUCGCAGACUAAACUACAANAGAAUUAGACGGCGUGAGAGUGCCGAACGGACGACGACGAGGGAGGUAGG